ensembl:lncRNA NSMCE1-DT NSMCE1 divergent transcript
UCCAGGCAUGUGUGGGCCAUUGCAGCCUGAAUUAAUCAGGAGGGAAGAAGAAGUGCGACGAUAACUGGCCAGUGAUACACAGUGGGAGACAGACUGCGGAACUGCCCAUGAGGCCAAGCACCUAUUAGUAGACCAAGAAGCAUCACCCAUCCAUGGCCUAAGUCGGCAGCCAGCUAUUGUUCUCAUCUGAGUCUGGGAGUUCAGGAUUUCCAUCCUGACCCGGCUACUUUCUUUCAACAGUUACCCACUGUAAAUUUCCGAAUACUUUCAGCUACUAAUCCCAGUGUACCCAAUUAAAAAUGGCUUUCCUAAUAAAGGCAUUUCAGAUCGAAUUUA